CGCACUCUCACAUCUCGUAUGUUAAUUCAACACUCACUGAAGUCCCAUACUCACUGUCUGAUUCUAGUGCUCUUUGCUCAUGUGGUGGUCUUCCAUUCUCUAUUUCUCUAGUUUAUUAGAGUUUCUGGUAUAAUUGAAAUCUCGGUAUCCUUCAUUUUAGGAUUGAGGGCUUCGACAUCGUUGAAGAUUUCGGGUGGUUUUUAAGGUCUUUAGCCGUGGCUCUCUCACCUUUGAUAAGGUGUUUUUAGGUGUUUGGUCCAGCUUAUCAACAGAACGAUAUGUAUGAUCUAGCUGUCGUUCCCAUUGUAAAUGAGGUAUUAGAAGGAUUCAAUCAAUGUAGGCCUUGCUCAGCGAAUUCCAGUGAUAACGUGCCAGAAAAAUUGAUGGAAAGAAGGUUAUUGCCUUGGAUAUGGGUCUCCUUGUAGCUCGUAUAAAGAAUCGUGGAGACUUCGAAGAACAAUUAAAGAAGUUAAUGGAAGUGAAGGUGACGAGAUUAACACGUCUAUAGAUUAAGUACAUACAUUAUUGGAGCUAGUGCUGCUGAGGUGCCAUUGAUGCAGUAAACAUUUUGAAACCAGCUUUUGGAAGAGGUGAACUGCAGGAUUCCCAAGUUGGACUUACAAUCACGACACGAAUCUCACUUUUUGCAUGCAUUAGCAUCUCCCCGGAAAUCAUCUGAAAAGCCUAUGGCUGCGUAUGCAUAACUGGAAGUAUUUUAUCUUGUUACUACACCGGUCAUCUUCUCAGCAUCCCUGAGGUAUUUUGCAGCCUGAUUCUUACAAGUUAGUUUAUUUACUUUGAGGGCCCUAGUCCCAAGAAAGGUAAUGAGUUCCUUCAUAUGGAAUAUUCGUAUGUGCUUUGUUUUAAGUGGCAAGCUUUUCAAUUAGGUGUAUUGACGUAUUAGGAAAAAUGCAUAGCAGCAGCUUUAAAAUUGUUUUCCAAUUUCAACUUAAUCUUCUGAAAAUGAAUGAUGGUGCAGUGUAUCGGUGCUAUAAACUAAAUCAAAACAGAAAACAUAUUCGGAGGACCCCUCUUUAAAAGGAUAAAAAUAUCGUAAGCUCCUCUAUAAAUGAGGCUUUAUAAUGCCCCUAGUUCAUUCCAUUUCUGCAGAUUAGAGCGUACCUAGAGCACAGAUGUUAUAAAGAUUUGUGGAUUGAGCACUUCAGUUCAGCAAAACUCGUGUUCAUCAUUUAUAGAAAUUGCUUUCGUCAUGCAAGGAUCAUAUCUAAGUUUACUGAAUCCUAUAACUUGGUGUCUAGCAUUUAUUUGAAUCAAUUUGGCAACUGGUGCAUCUUCUAGUUUCCUCGGUUAAGCAAAAAUUGAAACUCUUUUGUAUGUGACUGUUAUGAAAUUCUUUAUCCAGCAGUUUAUUUUUUAUUA